AGUGAACGCUGGCGGCGUGCCUAAUACAUGCAAGUCGAACGAAGUGGCGCACGGGUGAGUAAUAUAUAGUUAAUCUGCCCUACACAGAGUAACAACAGUUGGAAACGGCUGCUAAUACCUCAUAGUGUAGGUUGAGACUAUAUCGUAUCAGCUAGUUGGUAAGGUAAUGGCUUACCAAGGCUAUGACGCGUAACUGGUCUGAGAGGAUGAUCAGUAACAUUGGAACUGAGACACGGUCCAAAGUCCUACGGGAGGCAGCAGUAAGGAAUAUUGCGCAAUGGGGGAAAGCCUGACGCAGCAACGCCGCGUGGAGGAUGACCCUUUUCGGAGCGUAAACUCCUUUUAUCAGGAAAGCGGUAUCUAACCAGAAAGCAACGGCUAACUACGUGCCAGCCGCCGCGUUAAUAC
rnacentral:rRNA from 1 species